rnacentral:lncRNA from 1 species
UCUCCAAUCUAAUAUGUUGCUGUGGGUAUUUCAGCUCCAGUGAGGACUCUGCAAAUCACCAUCUCCAGAGCUAACAGGAGUGACCCCCAGCUAUUCCAAGGUAUCGCUAGGGGGUGGGGAGUGGGGCACGGGGCCUUUCCCCUCUAGGGGGGCCGGCCCUGAUCAGGCCUCCAGGCAGGGACUGGUUGGCUCAGGCUGCGUGUGGCUCUGUGUUAUUUCUAUUCCCAGAUCCCGGCACCCCGGUGGGGAACGGGUCACAGAUCACGGCCCAGGAGGGCGACUCCCUGCGGUUCCUCUGCUCCAUCUCCAGCAGCCUCCCUGCCACGCUGGCCUGGGUGAGGGGGGGCCGAGCCAUCGAGGGCACCCGCCCCGCGGGGGAAAAUCAGCUGCGACUGGAGCUGCCCAACAUCACAGCCGAGGACGGGGGGCUGUACGGGUGCUGGGCCCAGAGAGAGAAGAUCUCUGCCCAGGGGACGUUCCAGCUGCUCAUCGAGUACAGCCCCUAGCUGGGGACUGCGCUGAAGACGUCCUGCCAGCACCAGGGGCCCAGCAUCAGCUGCAGUUGCCCCCUGCGCUCCCAACCCCCACCUUGGCUCCAAUGGCAGGUGGACGGGGAGCCCGUGGCUGGGAACGGCUCUCGGGGGGCCCUGCAGGUCAGCUCGUGGGCCCAGGGGGAUGAGGCUGUCAGCGCCCUGAGUUGGACGGGAAGUGGGGACUGGGACCGGGAUCUUCUGCCUCCGCUCCAACAUCCACAGGAUGUACGCUGUACUGCUGAGCCCACCGGAAACAUGUUUGAGCGCUUCCCCACUAGGGGAUGUGAGCUCUGAUCUUGCCCCAGGGAGGGGAUUGACUGGCUUUUGUGGGGAGGUGGGCGGACAUUGGGCCACAGGACCUUUCCCCCUCCAGGAAUCACUGGCUCCAACCUGGCCCCAGGGCAGGGGCUGUCUGGCUUAGACAGGGGUUGCAGGGAUCUAUCCCAGACUCUCGGCUUCUUCCAGCUCCCACAGGUGGCCUCACUUGGGUGUUUAUCGAAAUCAGCUGCAAACUCGUGUUCAUGGCAACUGGAUUCAUCCUGGCCUAUUACCUCACCCUGCUCUAUUACAGACGGUAACUCAGCUACUAACCCACCUACUGAUCUGCCCACCUAUGUACCUACCUACUCAUAUACCUACCCACCGUUCUACCCACCUAUGUACCCACCUAGCUACCAACCCACUGACCGACCCAUCUACCCAUCUACCACGUUGCCUAGAUACCUACCUACAACUUA